UACGUAGGGGGCAAGCGUUGUCCGGAUUUAUUGGGCGUAAAAAGCGUGUAGGCGGUUCGGUAGGUCCGUUGUGAAAACUCGAGGCUCAACCUCGAGACGCCGAUGGAAACCCUCGAACUAGAGUCCGGAAGAGGAGAAUGGAAUUCCUGGUGUAGCGGUGAAAUGCGCAGAUAUCAGGAAGAACACCCGUGGCUAAGGCGGUUCUCUAGUACGGUACUGACGCUGAGACGCGAAAGCGUGGGGAGCGAACAGG
rnacentral:rRNA from 1 species